GCUGAUAUGGCUCAGUUGGUAGAGCGCACCCUUGGUAAGGGUGAGGUCCCCAGUUAGACUCUGGGUAUCAGCACCA
rnacentral:tRNA from 4 species